AUAUUAUUAAGUGGAGGAAAAGAAACCAAAAGGGAUUCCCCCAGUAGCGGCGAGCGAAAAGGGACCAGCCCAAAGCCGAAUCCCGCGCCCCACGGGCGUCGAGAAAUGUGGCGUAUGGGAGGCGGUACUAAACGCGCGUUAGAGGGCGGCCCAAGUCCCCAUGAACGGGGCCUAGACCGGAGCGGGUGAGAGUCCCGUACGGUCGCCCUCUUCGCGCCUUGCCACCGUCCUCCCGGGAGUCGGGUUGCUUGAAAGUGCAACCCAAAGUGGGUGGUAUGCUCCACCUAAGGCUAAAUAUCCCCGAGAGACCGAUAGCAAAAAAGUACCGUGAGGGAAAGUUGAAAAGAACUUUGAAGAGAGAGUUCAAUAGUACGUGAAACCGCUUAGAGGUAAACUGGUGGGCCCUCGAAGUCUGAAGGCGGUUCGAUUCAUCUCCCCGGUCCUCCAAGGGCCCCGGAGAGUAUUUCGGUUCCGCCGGUAAGAGGCCGCGACGGGUCGAUCGAGGUUCGGAAGGACGGCCUGGGAGGAUAGGUGGCCCGCAGCGCGCUUCGGCGCGAUUGCGGGUGUUAAGCCUCCCGGCAGGUAUAGCCGAUCUUCGCUGCCGACUCGGGAAGAGAGAGACUCUCGCACGGCGCUGCCUCCUACGAAYUGGAGGCAAAAAAAGCCGGAGGUCAGCGGUCAGUAGAUCGGGUCCCACCCGACCCGUCUUG
rnacentral:rRNA from 1 species